UACGUAGGGGGCUAGCGUUGUCCGGAAUCAUUGGGCGUAAAGAGCGUGUAGGCGGCCCGGUAAGUCCGCUGUGAAAGUCGGGGGCUCAACCCUCGAAUGCCGGUGGAUACUGUCGGGCUAGAGUGCGGAAGAGGCGAGUGGAAUUCCUGGUGUAGCGGUGAAAUGCGCAGAUAUCAGGAAGAACACCGGUGGCGAAGGCGGCUCUCUGGGCCUGUUCUGACGCUGAGGAGCGAAAGCAUGGGGAGCGAACAGG
rnacentral:rRNA from 1 species